rnacentral:lncRNA from 1 species
AUGGGUGGAACCACAGACUCAAACCCCACUGGGCAAGCCCGGACCGUGAGGUGGAUUCUGUUGCUGUGGUGCCUGACAGCUGUGAGACUAGCUACCGGAACAGAGGAUGGAAUGACCGAGACCAAUAAAGACAGUCUCGAUGUGCAGAUCCUAGGCCCAGGCUACGUGACAGUCGGCGUGCCUUCCAGCUUCGAGUGCGAAGCCAACUGCAACUCCAAGCCGUGCCAAUACUUGUCCAUGUCCAUGGACAAACAGGCAUCUGUUGGCCAUGGCAACGUACUUGCCUUCACGCUUUCCCAGUGGGUAGAGGCGCUGUCCCUGACUUGCACUGCCAAUGAUGAACAGACGGGGGCAACAAAGACUGUGACAAAGAAACUGCAGGCGUUAGCUGGACCGUCAAACGUCUCGAUCUCAGGGCCUGACUUGAUGACCCCCCUGGCUAGCCACGGCUACACUUGUCAUUCCUACUGCCGGCCUUCGUGCGAAUACACCUGGCGGGUUGACGACGGCCCCUGGGUGGCCGGCCAGGGGAACGUCAUCGGCGUCAUUCCCCAGCACCUCGACACGGCUAAAACCCUCAUGUGCAGAGCCACCAACACGGUGUCCGGCCUCUUUGCGGCCAAGAUCCAAGACAUCGCCGUAUCAUCCGGUCCCUCGGAUGUCACGGUCGUUCAGCCACGGAAGACCGUUUCCCUGAAAUGCGAGGCGCAGAACACAGUGACCAGGAAGUCCGACACGGUGUUGCUAACCGUUUUUCUCGGAGAUCACUCGAUGGCCACUCGUGCUGAGGAGAGGUCAGCUCUGCUCCUAUGCGGCCUCAUCGUCUCGGCUGGGAUUCUCAUUUGAUCCACACGAGGGAGACAUUUUAUAGGAUGUAAAGACUAUUUUUUUUUAAGUACUUUUAAAGCUUUCUACUACAAGUGCACUCAUAAAGUAAUUAUAAAUAGGCUUUCUACCAAGUCAUUAAGAUGUCGUAUGUGAAACACAUUACAUUUAGUUAAAAUAGAAAAUUCAUGACAGCCUUUUUCAUUAAUUACUAGGCCAAUAGGAUGAUAUAAAUAGCCUGAUCAAAAUACUUAAAUUACUAAUGUUUCACUAUCUAUAUGUAUCAUGUUUUAAUAAAAACAAUAAUAUAGAGCUUGUUUAAAAAUAUAGAGGUGAUUAUAAAAUGAUAUACAAUUCUAUUUCAAACAUUAUGCAAUGAUGUUUUUAUUUUACCUAAGCUAAACUCGUGCUGAAAUAUAAUUUAUUUGUAUGUGAAUACGUUUUUUCCUCAUUAUUGCAGUCAUUGCUUGCUGCUCAUCAUGUUUCAAGUUAAAGCACUUAAUAACCAAUAAUAACCACAAACAAUACCUAACAAACAACACUUAAAACUCUUUGUUGAACACUUGUAUGAGCCUUGUGAUGAGUAUUGUUGAGGAACACACUUUCUUGGUGGGAUGCUAUAUAUGCUACAUAUAAAUUAUGUAUCCCCUCAGUUGCAGACAAUUUGGAUGAUUGUACUGUUGAAAUCAUUAAAUUGCAUUACGUGUAUGAUUCAAUACCUUUCAUGUGUUUGGAACAUCAUACUGGAACAUCAUCAUUUCAAUAAUAAAUAUAGAAAUUGAUUUGCAAAAAGUGGUUUGGAGUGACAUCUUUUCUUUGCAUUUGUCUUGCAUAAUUUUGGAUAUAUAUUAACAGACGUUAAAGUUCUGACAGGUAAUUGUCACAUUCUAUAAGGAAAAUCCC